rnacentral:rRNA from 1 species
CUCCUACGGGAGGCAGCAGUGAGGAAUAUUGGUCAAUGGGCGCGAGCCUGAACCAGCCAAGUAGCGUGAAGGAUGAAGGCUCUAUGGGUCGUAAACUUCUUUUAUAUGGGAAUAAAGUUUUCCACGUGUGGAAUUUUGUAUGUACCAUAUGAAUAAGGAUCGGCUAACUCCGUGCCAGCGGCCGCGGUAAUACGGAGGAUCCGAGCGUUAUCCGGAUUUAUUGGGUUUAAAGGGAGCGUAGGUGGAUUGUUAAGUCAGUUGUGAAAGUUUGCGGCUCAACCGUAAAAUUGCAGUUGAAACUGGCAGUCUUGAGUACAGUAGAGGUGGGCGGAAUUCGUGGUGUAGCGGUGAAAUGCUUAGAUAUCACGAAGAACUCCGAUUGCGAAGGCAGCUCACUAGACUGUUACUGACACUGAUGCUCGAAAGUGUGGGUAUCAAACAGGAUUAGAUACCCUGGUAGUCCACACAGUAAACGAUGAAUACUCGCUGUUUGCGAUAUACAGUAAGCGGCCAAGCGAAAGCAUUAAGUAUUCCACCUGGGGAGUACGCCGGCAACGGUGAAACUCAAAGGAAUUGACGGGGGCCCGCACAAGCGGAGGAACAUGUGGUUUAAUUCGAUGAUACGCGAGGAACCUUACCCGGGCUUAAAUUGCAACAGAAUAUAUUGGAAACAGUAUAGCCGUAAGGCUGUUGUGAAGGUGCUGCAUGGUUGUCGUCAGCUCGUGCCGUGAGGUGUCGGCUUAAGUGCCAUAACGAGCGCAACCCUUAUCUUUAGUUACUAACAGGUCAUGCUGAGGACUCUAGAGAGACUGCCGUCGUAAGAUGUGAGGAAGGUGGGGAUGACGUCAAAUCAGCACGGCCCUUACGUCCGGGGCUACACACGUGUUACAAUGGGGGGUACAGAAGGCAGCUACACGGCGACGUGAUGCUAAUCCCAAAAACCUCUCUCAGUUCGGAUCGAAGUCUGCAACCCGACUUCGUGAAGCUGGAUUCGCUAGUAAUCGCGCAUCAGCCAUGGCGCGGUGAAUACGUUCCCGGGCCUUGUACACACCGC